AUUGAACGCUGGCGGCAGGCUUAACACAUGCAAGUCGAGCGGAGAGAGGUAGCUUGCUACUGAUCUUAGCGGCGGACGGGUGAGUAAUGCUUAGGAAUCUGCCUAUUAGUGGGGGACAACAUUUCGACAGGAAUGCUAAUACCGCAUACGUCAUACGGGAGAAAGCAGGGGAUCUUCGGACGUUGCGCUAAUAGCUGAGCCUAAGUCGGAUUAGCUAGUUGGUGGGGUAAAGGCCUACAAAGGCGACGAUCUGUAGCGGGUCUGAGAGGAUGAUCCGCCACACUGGGACUGAGACACGGCCCAGACUCCUACGGGAGGCAGGAGUGGGGAAUAUUGGACAAUGGGCGGAAGCCUGAUCCAGCCAUGCCGCGUGUGUGAAGAAGGCCUUAUGGUUGUAAAGCACUUUAAGCGAGGAGGAGGCUACUUUAGUUAAUACCUAGAGAUAGUGGACGUUACUCGCAGAAUAAGCACCGGCUAACUCUGUGCCAGCAGCCGCCGUAACAC
rnacentral:rRNA from 1 species